rfam:Bacillus gaemokensis strain JCM 15801 contig23, whole genome shotgun sequence.
UUGAAUGCGGUGAAAGGAAAAGAAGUAGUAGUUGUUUCCCUGUAACAGAGAGCUGGUGGUUGGUGUGAACCAGUACAAAAACAAGUGCGAAUUACAGUCCUGGAGCAUCUUUCUCGUAGUAAAGAAUUGUUUUCUUUAUGAAGGGAAAGACGGUCAAAUGAUCGUUAACAGUGAAGAGAGGUAGACGAAACAAGUCUGCAACUAGGGUGGUACCGCGAUAAAUAUCGUCCCUACU